CAGUCGCCGCGGUAAUACGUAGGUGGCAAGCGUUGUCCGGAAUUAUUGGGCGUAAAGCGCGCGCAGGUGGUUUAAUAAGUCUGAUGUGAAAGCCCACGGCUCAACCGUGGAGGGUCAUUGGAAACUGUUAAACUUGAGUGCAGGAGAGAAAAGUGGAAUUCCUAGUGUAGCGGUGAAAUGCGUAGAGAUUAGGAGGAACACCAGUGGCGAAGGCGGCUUUUUGGCCUGUAACUGACACUGAGGCGCGAAAGCGUGGGGAGCAAACAGGAUUAGAUACCCCGGUAGUCCCUGUCUCUUAUAC
rnacentral:rRNA from 1 species